UUUCUCCUUUCUUCUCCUUUCUCACGCACCCACCAGCCUCCCUCUUCCUUUCUUCUACCCAUUUCUCCUACUUCUUCUGUGCACCAGCCCAUGAGAGAUUGAGAGAGUGAGACGCAGAGAUGGAGAGACCCGUUAGUUCGAGUGACCCGCGACCCAGUGACCCGAGUAACCACCAGACCCGAAGCCUAGACCCGGACCCGAUCCUCCAUUAACGAACUCCGGCGAACCAGUGAUGGAUCGGCGACCUGAGAUGCGGUUUCCGGCAACCCGUGAGCCCAGAAAACCCGAGACCCGUGACCCUGAGUUGAACCCGAUUCACCCGAAUCCCGACGGGUCUGGCAGAGGCGAAACAGAGAGGGAGUGCCGAGGGAGAUCCGGCCGUUCAGGGAUUCUCCGACGGAGCUACGUGGCCGAUCCUCCAGUGUCGAAUUCCGGCGAGUUCUCCGACAGUCCCGGUAUGGAUUUUCGGCGAAAACAGUGACAAUUUUCUGUGGUUCUUGAGCUCUAUUUUAUUAGGAUCAUGUUCGGAUUGGAGACUUUAAGUGGUUCUCCAAUGUAGAGUCCAAGUGACUAGAGUCCAAGGAGUGUUCGAGUUGGAGUCCAAUGCAGCCAAGAUGAUGUUUCUUUGGCUGCAGGUACUACGGUAUAGUCGAUGGGUCGGUAGCAGUGUGCUUGGGAUAUUAUAACUGAAGCUCGCCGCGACAGUUGUAAUUGUCGGACCACGGGUUGUCCACUAUUUUAUAGGUUUGGUAUGGCUUGUGACGUUUGUGUCACUUAUUAAUUGUUAAGCCAUUAUUGUUAUAGUGUUAAUAAGACUCAAACAGAUAGAUGUUAAAUGGCUCUUUGUUGUAAUUAAUUUGUGAUAGAUGUGUAAGUUGUAAUUUCCGCUAUUCAGAUAUAUGUUUUCCGCUGCAUAGAUAGAUGUAUGUUAUACUCUGAUUAUCAGGUACAUGUUAUGGGGCAUGUGCCAUAUGUUGGCUUUGCGACAUAUCGUCGUGCCACUGUGAGGACUCGUUUUACGUUUUGUA